UACGAAGGGGGCUAGCGUUGUUCGGAAUCAUUGGGCGUAAAGGGUGCGCAGGCGGAGUCAUAAGUCAGGGGUGAAAUCCCGAGGCUCAACCUCGGAACUGCCUUUGAUACUGUGGAUCUUGAGUUCGGAAGAGGUGAGUGGAACUGCGAGUGUAGAGGUGAAAUUCGUAGAUAUUCGCAAGAACACCGGUGGCGAAGGCGGCUCACUGGUCCGGAACUGACGCUGAGGCACGACAGCAUGGGGAGCAAACAGG
rnacentral:rRNA from 1 species